GUGCCUUUUAUUAAAAACAGAUUUAAGUAUUUCGGUUAUAUGUAUCUUUCAAAACUCGGUGUUUCUUUUGGAUCCGUCUCUUGGAUAAACUUGAAAUUCCUUCAAAACCAUCAAGUACUUGAGCUUUGGAUAUUAAAGGAUAUACCUAGAGCUAGCAAGAAUGGUCAUCAAUGAAAGUCACAAGUUGUAAUGACCCUCUAGGUCAUUUUCACAGCUUCCAUGCAUUUUUGGCGUUUCGUACAUUCCCACAGCAGUUACAUGUCAUUUAUGACGUGCUAGGAUUGUCGAAUGGAGCUGGCCUAUUUUAGUCUUGCUUCCUCCUCGACCACAAGCUUCAUUUCCCCAAUUUCAAACCUUUUUGGACGCACUUUGAGCUCUAAAAUCAAUUGGAAAACAUUAAUUUGAGGUCCGGGUUAUUACGGGAACAUCAUGGUGGUCUUCAUUUCGUCCGAAUCUUGCUCAAUCUAGGGGUCUUGAUAAGCUGUAGAUUUCUUCAGGCAGGAGUGGAGAGUGCAGUUGGUAAGCCUUCUAUAUUUCAGAAGGCCUAUUUCCUUUCAGUCAUUUAUCAACUAUUAUGGUUUUGGUCUACUGGGGGCUUUGUCCCAGAUUUAGAUAAGUUUUGAUGUCUUAUGUAUUAGAGAUUUCGCAGACUGAGAAAGAUGUUGGUUAUAUGUUGAAAAACCUAUCUUCGUAUUGUUGAACAGAUUUAAGAUUUAUGACCAUGAUUCUAUUUUGUUA